CUUCUCCUUGUCUGCCUCGUCGUCGAAAGAUUUGAUGUCUGCGAUCUCGAACUGGAUGUAGGGAUCAAAGGAGCCCGCCCGUAGCAUCCUCUGCCCGGCAUCCACGUGAAUUACCACCCUCUACACAAAAAUUUGAUAACAAGCUUGCGGCAUUCACCCCUUCCUCCGCGUUAAGGAGCUCUGUGAUCAUCUGAGACGUCUCCUUCAUGAAGUCAUCGCUGAUCUGGUCCUGGGACAGGUUGGUCUUGAUGGAGACCAUAUCAAGGAAACCAUGUGAGGGACCAGCAACAGUCGUGGAGCGGGAAGGGCCGUGGGACGAUACUGACUUCUGACCACCUUUGACCCGUGGAUGACCUCACAUCUCCGACAGAUAAUUACCAUUUUCACUGUGAUUAUUGCUGCACUUUGUAGAUGCCCCGCAUGUUAUGUGCUAGGGCUGGGUAUCGGUACAGCGUACCGGUACAAAACCGGUUUUUCUUAUUGGACCGGUCAAGAAAAACCGGACCUGAAAAAAAUUAGGUGGACCGGAUG